rnacentral:rRNA from 1 species
UACGGAGGGUGCAAGCGUUAUCCGGAUUUACUGGGUUUAAAGGGUGUGUAGGCGGGCUUUUAAGUCAGUGGUGAAAUCUCCGGGCUCAACCCGGAAACUGCCAUUGAUACUAUUAGUCUUGAAUUUUGUUGAGGUAGGCGGAAUAAGUCAUGUAGCGGUGAAAUGCUUAGAUAUGACUUAGAACACCAAUGCGAAGGCAGCUUGCUAAACAACAUUGACGCUGAGGCACGAAGCGUGGGAUCAAACAG